GUUUGAUGGCGACCGGCGCACGGGUGAGUAACACGUAUCCAACCUGCCGAUGACUCGGGGAUAGCCUUUCGAAAGAAAGAUUAAUACCCGAUGGCAUAGUCCUUCCGCAUGGUAGAACUAUUAAAGAAUUUCGGUCAUCGAUGGGGAUGCGUUCCAUUAGGUUGUUGGCGGGUAACGGCCCACCAAGCCUUCGAUGGAUAGGGGUUCUGAGAGGAAGGUCCCCCACAUUGGAACUGAGACACGGUCCAAACUCCUACGGGAGGCAGCAUG
rnacentral:rRNA from 1 species